UACGGAGGGUGCAAGCGUUAUCCGGAUUCACUGGGGUUUAAAGGGUGCGUAGGUGGGUUGGUAAGUCAGUGGUGAACUCUCCGAGCUUAACUUGGAAACUGCCGUUGAUACUAUCAAUCUUGAAUAUCGCGUAGGUAAGCGGAAUAUGUCAUGUAGCGGUGAAAAUGCUUAGAUAUGACAUAGAACACCAAUUGCGAAGGCAGCUUACUUCACGAUCUUGACACUGAGGCACGAAAAGCGUGGGGGAGCAAAACAGG
rnacentral:rRNA from 1 species